rnacentral:rRNA from 1 species
GAUGAACGCUGGCGGCGUGCUUAACACAUGCAAGUCGAACGGAAAGGCCAGUGCUUGCACUGGUACUCGAGUGGCGAACGGGUGAGUAACACGUGGGUGAUCUGCCCUGCACUUCGGGAUAAGCCUGGGAAACUGGGUCUAAUACCGGAUAGGACAAUGGUUUGGAUGCCGUUGUGGAAAGUUUUUUCGGUGUGGGAUGAGCUCGCGGCCUAUCAGCUUGUUGGUGGGGUAAUGGCCUACCAAGGCGUCGACGGGCAGCCGGCCUGAGAGGGUGUACGGCCACAUUGGGACUGAGAUACGGCCCAGACUCCUACGGGAGGCAGCAGUGGGGAAUAUUGCACAAUGGGCGCAAGCCUGAUGCAGCGACGCCGCGUGGGGGAUGACGGCCUUCGGGUUGUAAACUCCUUUCGCUAGGGACGAAGCGUAUUUGUGACGGUACCUGGAGAAGAAGCACCGGCUAACUACGUG